rnacentral:rRNA from 1 species
UACGGGGGGGGCAAGCGUUGUUCGGAAUUACUGGGCGUAAAGAGCUCGUAGGUGGUUUGUCGCGUUGUUCGUGAAAUCUCACGGCUUAACUGUGAGCGUGCGGGCGAUACGGGCAGACUGGAGUACUGCAGGGGAGACUGGAAUUCCUGGUGUAGCGGUGGAAUGCGCAGAUAUCAGGAGGAACACCGGUGGCGAAGGCGGGUCUCUGGGCCGUAACUGACGCUGAGGAGCGAAAGCAUGGGGAGCGAACAGG